rnacentral:rRNA from 1 species
AUGAAGAGGCAAAAUUGGGCAGGCAAUCCUAGAUGCUCGUUCUGCAGAGAUGUUGAAACUUCGCAACAUCUUUUUUUCACCUGUCAUGUUGCUCGGGUGGUUUGGAGGACGGUUGGGUGUGUGUUCGGCACAUCUCUUUGCCCGAACAAUAGCUGGCAGUAUUUCUCCUGGUGUUACAUAUUCCUUCCUGAUGGGGCUAAGUUUUAUACCUUUGGUUUGGCAGCCGUUUGCUGGGCAAUCUGGAACUGUCAUAACCAGGCUACUUUUGAACAAAAAAUGCUUAAGACUCCAUUUAAUGUGGUGUGUGCUGCUUGUGGUUUUUUUUACAUACUAGACAGGUUUGAUGGCUAG